rnacentral:rRNA from 1 species
UAGCCAGACUCCUACGGGAGGCAGCAGUGAGGAAUAUUGGUCAAUGGCCGGAAGGCUGAACCAGCCAAGUCGCGUGAGGGAAUAAGGCCCUAUGGGUCGUAAACCUCUUUUGUCAGGGAGCAAAGGCGUCCACGUGUGGACGAGAGGAGAGUACCUGAAGAAAAAGCAUCGGCUAACUCCGUGCCAGCAGCCGCGGUAAUACGGAGGAUGCGAGCGUUAUCCGGAUUUAUUGGGUUUAAAGGGUGCGUAGGUGGUUAAUUAAGUCAGCGGUGAAAGUUUGUGGCUCAACCAUAAAAUUGCCGUUGAAACUGGUUGACUUGAGUAUAUUUGAGGUAGGCGGAAUGCGUGGUGUAGCGGUGAAAUGCUUAGAUAUCACGAAGAACUCCGAUUGCGAAGGCAGCCUACUAAACUGCCACUGACAUUGAUGCUCGAAAGUGUGGGGAUCAAACAGGAUUAGAUACCCUCGUAGUA